rnacentral:rRNA from 1 species
UACGUGGGUGGCAAGCGUUGUCCGGAAUUAUUGGGCGUAAAGCGCGUGCAGGCGGUUCUUUAAGUCUGUUGUGAAAGCCCACGGCUCAACCGUGGAGGGUCAUUGGAAACUGGGGAACUUGAGUACAGAAGAGGAAAGCGGAAUUCCACGUGUAGCGGUGAAAUGCGUAGAGAUGUGGAGGAACACCAGUGGCGACGGCGGCUUUCUGGUCUGUAACUGACGCUGAGGCGCGAAAGCGUGGGGAGCAAACAGG